rnacentral:rRNA from 1 species
UACGGAGGGAGCUAGCGUUGUUCGGAAUUACUGGGCGUAAAGCGCACGUAGGCGGAUUUGUUAGUCAGGGGUGAAAUCCCGGGGCUCAACCUCGGAACUGCCUUUGAUACUGCAAAUCUCGAGUCCGAUAGAGGUGGGUGGAAUUCCUAGUGUAGAGGUGAAAUUCGUAGAUAUUAGGAAGAACACCGGUGGCGAAGGCGGCCCACUGGAUCGGUACUGACGCUGAGGUGCGAAAGCGUGGGGAGCAAACAGG